AGACGUUUAUUUCGGCAAGGAAUGAACCUUUCUGCAGAAAAACCUCACCCACUCUGCGUUGAUUAAAGAGGGAACCUAUAUGAAAAGCUUACAGGAAAACAACAAAGGGGAAAUUAGAUUUCUAUGGAUUUUACUGUAAAAAUACUGGAUGUCAUCUGUAUUUUAGUACUAGUUCAGAUUCAUCCUGACUCAGUUGUGAAGUAUUUUGCUGUCAGGAAGAUCUCACACUGUUUUACUAAAGAUGUUCUCAAAAGAGCAGUUCUUCAAGUGAUUUCUAACCAUGCUAUGGUCAUACUAGUGAUCAUCCGGUAACGAGAGAAAAUGCCCUUGCAGGCUGUACCGUGUGCCAGAAGGACAGGGCAAGCCCCCUCUGUGACCAUCCUCUGGGGAGGAUUCAUGGAAGCAGAACGUCUUACCCUGAGGAGAAGCUGGUGAGAUGCCGUUCAGCUCAGUGACAGCGUUCCUCCCUGCAGCCCGUUUCGCAGCUGAGCAAGGACCUGAUAACAUCUAACGGGCAUCUAACGCCCGAUGUGGACAAAACCAGCAGCAGAGCGCUGGUACUCAGUCAUAUCCCCUGUACUGGCUCAGUUCUGAAAACUCACAGUUUGACGUUCUGCCGUGGAAACAGAAACCGAACUAAAUUGUGCGAUGCCGGGAGGAAGAGCCACCGAGAUUUGUCAGACUUUUUGUCUGUUUGUGCCGGUUUGUCAGACUGCUGUGUGCUACCUCAGCUUUUCCCCCAGAAAGGGUGAUUUCAUUCCUCUUAUAUAAAUAUCUCCUAACCUGGUUUUAAACUCAGACUUCUUUGCCAGUAUGUAAUUCUUUACAUUCUGCAAAAUACCCGUAACUGUGUUAGAGCCCCAAACGCUACAUUUUUGUCCUUGAAGGUUUUGAUUCCCAACACUUGAAGCAGUAAAGCCCCACCCCACGCAUUUCAGUUUUAUCCCUCCGUUUUUCACUUGCCGAUGCAUACAAAUGAAGACCUAGGUAAACCUUUUCAGGAUGCUAAUGGCGAGCUCUCCAGUUCCCACGACAGUGCUAGCAGGGUGCAAAGCUGUGAGGAGAAAAGGAGGAAAUUAGCCUGUCACCCUGGGAAAGCAAUGCCUACUGAUACAAGGAGCAGUCUAAUCUCAGUAGCCUUUCUAAACAGUUUACAUGAAAAAAACAACAAACAGAGGGAAGGAAGGAAGAAAAGGAUUUCUGUUGUAAAUUGACAGGAAUGGCUGUAUUGGGUUUCCGCUGAUGAAAUCUGUCCACAGCAAAGGGUUAGAAGGAAUAAAGGAGGCUUUAUGCCUUGUUAGGGUGAGAGAAAACAAGACAUAGUGAUGAAGCUGAAUAUGUAAGCAAGCUUCUCAAAACUUAUGUGAAUAUUUGGGAUUUACACUUUAUUUUCUGGAUAAACCAUCCACCAGUUUCUUUUUUUGGUAAUUUUGAGGGAAUUUUUUCGGUGUGUGGCUCAGCUAUUUAUCAGUGUUCAAAACAGAGAUUAUACACUGUAGUCAGAGAUGAUAGCAACUCACUAGGCUGUUUUAAAUGCAGAUUAAAAAUUAUUGAAAGCAGACUGGAUUCUGGAUAACCAUACCAGUAGUGUGCUAGUAAAAACAAGUAAUUUUAACAUAGGCCAUACAAAUCACAUUUAUAUAUACAAUCCAAAUGUUUGGUUUUUACUACAUUAGCAGUGUGCAAAACAGAAUGCAUUUGAGAAAUCCCUGAAAUAAAGAAGAAUAUAUUUAGUACCAAUGGACUGCACAGAAGAGAGAUAAACUACUAGAUUACCUUUUGGACAUGAGAUUAAUAUUCAAUGGGGAGAUGGUAAAAACCUGAAGGUUUAGAAAAUACAAAUGUAAAAUUCCUUACAUCAUUCUGCAACUGUGCAGUUCAGAGAUACAUUAAAAUGUCAAUAUUGGAGCACUGGCACUUAGGGAAACACUAGGUCAAUGAAGAACUGAAUCUGAUUUGAUGAACUGGAUGACUGGUAAGACACAAAAUCUAAAAGAGCUUAAUUCUUGAAUAUUAUUUCCUAAAGCAGCGAGAAUGCCAAAGAAAGUAUGAGGAGAAGACUUAAAGCUUUCAGUAAGGAACGUAAUGACCCAGGUACGUCAAUUAGAUAUUCUGCCCUCAAGAACGUGCAGGACCUGUGGUUCCACAACGUGAAGUCUCUGGCAGCAAUAUUGGCUGCAGGUCAUGUUGAAACAGUCUUUUUCAGAUGAAGAUUCAUGGUGCCACUUGCCAUCCUUGCAGUGGAGAAACCAAACUUAUUGCCAACCUAGACUGUAUUACAAUAGAAGAGAAAUAUGCAUCGUGUUUUUUUCCCCAAAUUUUCUCUUCCAUCCUCAUCCACAAAGUAUUAAGCUGAAUAGGGAAUCCUGUCUUAGCUUCUUUUGAUUCCCAUUUAUUUAAGUAUAAAUAUAUAAAAAGCGAAACAUUUCCUAGUGCAAUAAAGUAGAAUACCUAUUUUUUAUGCUUUUUCUUGAUUCUAAAUGUCAGAAUUAUUUCCUGUUCACUGAGCAGAGGAAGGCAUAAAAAGUAAGACUUAUCACUGCCUGGUGGGCAAGACACUUUUAUCGUACUGCUUCAUGGGAUAAUGACUGCUUAUAACAAAUGCCUAGCUGUAAUGGGAGAUAUUUGUCUCUGAAUAACAUAGCAGCUGGGGCACUCUGGUGAGACACCGAGGUUCAAACCCCAGUUUCAAAUCA